rnacentral:rRNA from 1 species
CUAAGGUGAGCGAGCGAACUCUCGUUAAGGAACUCGGCAAAAUGACCCCGUAACUUCGGGAGAAGGGGUGCUCUUUAGGGUUAACGCCCAGAAGAGCCGCAGUGAAUAGGCCCAAGCGACUGUUUAUCAAAAACACAGGUCUCUGCUAAACCGUAAGGUGAUGUAUAGGGGCUGACGCCUGCCCGGUGCUGGAAGGUUAAGAGGAGUGGUUAGCUUCUGCGAAGCUACGAAUCGAAGCCCCAGUAAACGGCGGCCGUAACUAUAACGGUCCUAAGGUAGCGAAAUUCCUUGUCGGGUAAGUUCCGACCCG